GCCUCACUUUUGCUGAGGCUGGCUUUGAACUUUCGAUACUUCUGCCUGAGCCUCCCGAGGGGCUGGGUUUACAGGUGUGCACCACUGCUCCUGGAUGAAGUAGCAUUUAUUGAAGACAUAUCAUAGCACAGUGCCUAGAACAUUUGCCACACUUGGUUUCAAUUCUAAGCUUCCAAGGGUACGUUUGUUUACCUAUUUGUUUCCACAGCUCAACACACAGUGCUAUUCCAGGCACAUAGUGCCUGGUCUGUCAAUAUUUCAACAUGCAGAUGAGUUUGUGUCCUAACCUCUCUGUGUGUGCCUGUGUGUGAGUACCUUGACUUUGAGAGUUAAUAUAAUUUCAAUUUAUUUCACUGAUGUUGAUCCCUUGAUUUGAAGUUGAGUUAACCACACCCUCUCAUACAGCUGCCUUCCAAGUUUUUCUUCUGUGGAGUUGAGUUAAAGCACACAUUUUUCUUCCAACAUUUUUUUUUUAGGUUGAUCCUGGUUUGGGAAACUUCCAGGCUGGAGUGAUUACAAUCAAAAGAGGUGUUUCUCCUGGCUCUUCCUGAUGCUAACACACCUUCUCUCUACUAAAACUGCAUCUCCAAUUAAUAUUUUAAAGGGCAACAUCUUCCGAAUGGGCAUAUCUACCCUGGGAGGCAGAUGGAUACUUUGUAAGAGGUACUUGGUCACCAAAGCAUUCAAUUGUGUAUCCUCAACUUUCCCCUCAACAAGUUUCUAAGGCAGAUGUGAUACAUCAUCAGAACCCUCUGGGCUCAGGAUUUUUUUUUUUUAAUCUUCUCCUACCUUUCCUUUGCCCAUUAUCCUUUUCUUACUCUACAAAAGAAGGGCACUGCCCUCCCCAAUUCCACAUCUUACUAAAAUGCAUUGCCUGGGGUAUAAAAACCUUUGUGAGCCAAGUGUGGUGGUGCCUGCCUGUAAUCCCAGCAGCUUGGGAGGCUGAGGCAAGAGGAUUGUGAGUUCAAAGCCAGCUUCAGCAAAAGCGAGGCACUAAGCACUUCAGCGAGAUCCUGUCUCUAAAUAAAAUACAAAAUUGGGCUGGGGAUGUGGCUCAGUGUUUGAGUGCCCUUGAGUUCAAUCCCUGGUAGUCCCUCCCCCCCCCCAAAAGUUGGUGAUAUGAAAGGGACAAUUUCACUCAACAACACACAUUUAUUGAAUACCUACUGUAUGCCAAUUCUAGAUGAUGAACUACCACAACAAACACAAUAGUGAAACAUCUCUGUCCUCAUGGGUUUUCCAUUCCAGCACUCUUACUUUUCUGCCAAUAAGAAAAAAAAAGUGUUAUGCAUGUUUUAAUCAAGCUCUAUAGUUUAAUCAAGGCCCUAUAAUUUUCCCAUGAGUCUCACAAAGAAAUGCAUUCCAGAAAAUUCUCCUUUAUAUGAUUUAAUUAUUAUAUAUCAAAACCUAUAUGUAGGUUAUUUUGCUCAAUUGUAUACUAGUAAUAAUUGUAAUGAUUCAGUCUGGAAAAACUAGUUAACACAUGGAGCAAUAAUGGAAAAUUAAAACAAAUUUAAGUCACACUUUAUGUAUUUUCAUUGUAGAGAAGUAUGGUUAUCAACCAAAGUCUUUAAGUAAAAAAAUCAUGAUUAAAAAUUGUAGAAAGGCGGAAUGAAUUACAGUUUCAAGAAAAAAGGAGACAUUAAAAAGUUCUAAUUAUUAGGUAAGAGCUUGAUCAGACAUUUUUAAAUAGGUAAAUGUUGGUAUCAAAUUACUGUAACAUUUAAGUUUCACUGGAUACAUAUAAAAGAAUGUCACUUUUAUUCAAAAACUUCAGUGUUUUCAAUGACCACAAAUCACAUCUUUUGCAACUAUUUAAACUUAUGAAAAAUGUUAAGCAUCUACUUAAGUAUGUGCGAGGGUCACAUAGUUUCCUCAAAGUUCUUGUGGGGAUAGGGGGCCAGCUAUGUAAACAACAUCUGAAGGCCAGACUGCAAGUUAUAUUUUCUGAGAAGGGAGGUGGUGGGUGGAGCAGCACCAUAAAUAUGUGGCAAUAUUGCCUGAAUGUAAGUGAUAUUUGGCACAAUCAUACUGAAGCUUUUCCUGGAGGGAUAGGAAAAGUAUGAAGAUCACUUAUAAAAUACUGACUCAGGAAUCUCUAGUUUUCAGUGUGAUCUGGCAAUCCCACUCCCGGGUACAUAUCCAAAGGAAAUGAAAUGAAUAUGUCAUAGAGACAUGUACACAGCUAGGUUCACUGCAGCUCUGGUCAUCAUAGUCAAGAAAUGGAAGCAACCUAAGUGCGCAUCAGCUGAGGACUGAAUGAAGAAAAUAUGGUGCAUGUUCACAAUGGAACACUAGUGGGUCGCAGAACAAAUGAAAUCUUGUCAUUGAUGACUACAUGGAUGGAACCGGAGAUCAUUACAUUAAGUGGAAUUAGCCACCUGCAGGAAGACAAGAACUUCAUGAUAGCACGCAUAGGUAGAAUCAAAAAUGUCAAUCUCAGAAGUUGAAAGUAGAAGGGUGCUCACCCUGGAGAGACUGGGAAAAGUCAUGGGGAAGGCUGAUCAAGGUGAUAGAUAAAUAGGAGCAACAGUUCUAUUGUACUUAUUGCACAGUAGGGAGACUAUAGAUUCCAAUAAUGAACCAUGUAUUUCAAAAAAGCUAGAAGAAAGAUUUAGAAUGUUUUCAUCAUAAAGAAAUAAUAAAUGUUUGCAGGGGUAGAUAUGUUUAAUCUGAUUUAAAAUAUUAUACAAAAUGUAUACAUGUAUUGAAAUAUCAUACUGUAG
rnacentral:lncRNA from 1 species